rnacentral:rRNA from 1 species
UACGAAGGGGGCUAGCGUUGCUCGGAAUCACUGGGCGUAAAGCGCACGUAGGCGGCUUUCUAAGUCGGUGGUGAAAUCCUGGAGCUCAACUCCAGAACUGCCUCCGAUACUGGAAGGCUCGAGUCCGGGAGAGGUGAGUGGAACUGCGAGUGUAGAGGUGAAAUUCGUAGAUAUCGGGAGGAACACCAGUGGCGAAGGCGACUACCUGGCCUGUUCUUGACGCUGAGGCGCGAAAGCUAGGGGAGCAAACGGGG